AUGAGGGCGACCGAGUGUGGGUAGGACGCGCGUGGAGCGAAGUUGCGAGCAGACAAACAGGAACGGGGUAGAAGGCGUUGCCGAGGGGCGAGCGGGUAUGGAACCGUGAAGCUCUCGUGAUCAAGGCGAGACAGCGAAGGGCAAUACCGGCCUCAGCCGCGACGAAGGGUGAUGAUC
rfam:Rhizobacter sp. Root1221 contig_68, whole genome shotgun sequence.